ACUCCUACGGGAGGCAGCAGUGGGAAUAUUGGACAAUGGGGCAACCCGUGAUCCAGCAAUGCCGCGUGUGUGAAGAAGGCCUGAGGGUUGUAAAGCACUUUCAGUAGUGAGGAAAGGUUCUUGUUUAAGAGAUGAGAGCUGUGACGUUAGCUACAAAAGCAGCACCGGCUAACUCCGUGCCAGCAGCCGCGGUAAUACGGAGGGUGCAAGCGUUAAUCGGAAUUACUGGGCGUAAAGGGCGCGUAGGUUG
rnacentral:rRNA from 1 species